rnacentral:rRNA from 1 species
GGGCGUAAAGCGCACGCAGGCGGUCUGUCAAGUCGGAUGUGAAAUCCCCGGGCUCAACCUGGGAACUGCAUUCGAAACUGGCAGGCUAGAGUCUUGUAGAGGGGGGUAGAAUUCCACGUGUAGCGGUGAAAUGCGUAGAGAUCUGGAGGAAUACCGGUGGCGAAGGCGGCCCCCUGGACAAAGACUGACGCUCAGGUGCGAAAGCGUGGGGAGCAAACAGGAUUAGAUACCCUGGUAGUCCACGCCGUAAACGAUGUCGACUUGGAGGUUGUGCCCUUGAGGCGUGGCUUCCGGAGCUAACGCGUUAAGUCGACCGCCUGGGGAGUACGGCCGCAAGGUUAAAACUCAAAUGAAUUGACGGGGGCCCGCACAAGCGGUGGAGCAUGUGGUUUAAUUCGAUGCAACGCGAAGAACCUUACCUACUCUUGACAUCCAGAGAACUUAGCAGAGAUGCUUUGGUGCCUUCGGGAACUCUGAGACAGGUGCUGCAUGGCUGUCGUCAGCUCGUGUUGUGAAAUGUUGGGUUAAGUCCCGCAACGAGCGCAACCCUUAUCCUUUGUUGCCAGCGGUUAUGCCGGGAACUCACAGGAGACUGCCAGUGAUAAACUGGAG